UAUCUCUGUAGAGUCUGCAUAUCAAUAAGCGGAGGAAAAGAAACUAACUAGGAUUCCCUCAGUAACGGCGAGUGAAGCGGGAAGAGCUCAAAUUUGAAAUCUUCAAGGUUCUACCUUGACGAAUUGUAGUUUAAAGAAGUGUUUUCUGUUGGAGUUUCGGUAAAAGUUCUUUGGAAUAGGACAUCAUAGAGGGUGAGAAUCCCGUAUUUGACCAUUAUUUCCAACUUUGUGAUACACUUUCAAAGAGUCGGAUUGUUUGGGAAUGCAGUCCAAAAUGGGUGGUAAAUUUCAUCUAAAGCUAAAUAUUGGCGAGAGACCGAUAGCGAACAAGUACCGUGAGGGAAAGAUGAAAAGAACUUUGAAAAGAGAGUUAAACAGUACGUGAAAUUGUCAAAAGGGAAGCGUUUGACACCAGUGUUGUUUUCUCGAAAAUCGAUUAAAAAAGGCUAGGAUUUUGUAUUGUAAUUGACCUUCAUCAGCUUUACUGCUACUCUUUUCUUGUCUUUUUUUAAUGCACUUUUCGUUUAACAAGUCAACAUCAAUUUCUUUUGUUGUAAAAGAGGUCAUUGGAAGGUGGCUUUCUUUUCGGAGAAAGUGUUUAUAGCCUUUGGCCUCUGCAAUCGGAGAGAUUGAGGUCUGCAGCGUAGAUCCUUCGGGGUUAGAUACAUUUGUGCUAAGUUAUAGCCUUUCAUAGACAACUUGUUGACUAUGAUCAGUCAUGUAGCUUACUCGCUUAUGCUAUUUUACCUACGCUUAGGAUGUUGAAGAUGUAGCACAUCAU
rnacentral:rRNA from 1 species